AUGGCUGUCGUCAGCUCCGUGUCGUGAGAUGUUGGGUUAAGUCCCCGCAACCGAGCGCAACCCCUAUCUUUAAUUGCCAUCAUUCAGUUGGGCACUUUAGAGAGACUGCCGGUAAUAAACCGGAGAAGUGGGGAUGACGUCAAAUCAUCAUGCCCCUUAUGACCUGGGCUACACACGUGCUACAAUGGUUGGUACAACGAGUUGCGAGUCGGUGACGGCGAGCUAAUCUCUUAAAGCCAAUCUCAGUUCGGAUUGUAGGCUGCAACUCGCCUACAUGAAGUCGGAAUCGCUAGUAAUCGCGGAUCAGCACGCCGCGGUGAAUACCGGUUCCCGGGCCUU
rnacentral:rRNA from 1 species